UGGCGGCGNGGCUAACACAUGCAAGUCGUACGAGAAAGGGGCUUCGGCCCUGAGUAGAGUGGCGCACGGAUGAGUAACGCGUGGGUAAUCUACCCUUGGAUUUGGGAUAACUUCGCGAAAGCGGAGCUAAUACCGGAUAGUCUGGCUUUAAUUAAGAAGUCGGUAAAGGAUGCCUCUGUAUAUGCAUUCGUCCGAGGAUGAGCCCGCGUCUCAUUAGCUAGUUGGUAGGGUAAUGGCCUACCAAGGCAACGAUGAGUAGCUGGUCUGAGAGGAUGAUCAGACACACUGGAACUGAAACACGGUCCAGACUCCUACGGGAGGCAGCAGUGGGGAAUAUUGCGCAAUGGGCGAAAGCCUGACGCAGCAACGCCGNGUGAGGGAUGAAGGCUUUCGGGUCGUAAACCUC
rnacentral:rRNA from 1 species